rnacentral:rRNA from 1 species
CACCGCCCGUCACACUAUAGGAGCUAGCCAUGUUUGAAGUCAUUACCCUUAACCGUAAGGAGGGGGAUGCCUAAGGCUAGGCUUGCGACUGGAGUGAAGUCGUAACAAGGUAGCCGUACUGGAAGGUGCGGCUG